rnacentral:misc_RNA from 1 species
GUGAAUCAUCGAAUCUUUGAACGCAAAUUGCACUCUCCGGUUUUCCGUGAGAGUAUGCCUGUUGGAGGUUCAGCCUAAAAAAAAGCUCCAUUGUGGCUGUUUUGUUGUGACUUUCGUUGGAGAUGGGUUAUCUUAAAUCUCGGUUUGAGGGACUUAAAAUUUUUUUUUACGAUUCUAAGAAUGUUUCUAAUAUUUUUCUUGUACGUUUAAGGUCACAAAUGUCUUU